rnacentral:rRNA from 1 species
AGAGGUUACUGCUAUCGGUGUUCGCCUAAGCCAUGCGAGUCAUAUGUAGCAAUACAUGGCGUACUGCUCAGUAACACGUGGAUAACCUGCCCUUGGGACCGGCAUAACCCCGGGAAACUGGGGAUAAUUCCGGAUAACGCAUAUGUGCUGGAAUGCUUUAUGCGUAAAAUGGAUUCGUCUGCCCAAGGAUGGGUCUGCGGCCUAUCAGGUAGUAGUGGGUGUAGUGUACCUACUAGCCAGCGACGGGUACGGGUUGUGAGAGCAAGAGCCCGGAGAUGGAUUCUGAGACAUGAAUCCAGGCCCUACGGGGCGCAGCAGGCGCGAAAACUUUACAAUGCGGGAAACCGUGAUAAGGGGACACCGAGUGCCAGCAUCAUAUGCUGGCUGUCCAGGUGUGUAAAAUACACCUGUUAGCAAGGGCCGGGCAAGACCGGUGCCAGCCGCCGCGGUAACACCGGCGGCCCGAGUGGUGAUCGUGAUUAUUGGGUCUAAAGGGUCCGUAGCCGGUUUGGUCAGUCCUCCGGGAAAUCUGAUAGCUUAACUAUUAGGCUUUCGGGGGAUACUGCCAGACUUGGAACCGGGAGAGGUAAGAGGUACUACAGGGGUAGGAGUGAAAUCUUGUAAUCCCUGUGGGACCACCUGUGGCGAAGGCGUCUUACCAGAACGGGUUCGACGGUGAGGGACGAAAGCUGGGGGCACGAACCGGAUUAGAUACCCGGGUAGUCCCAGCCGUAAACGAUGCUCGCUAGGUGUCUGGGAUGGUGCGACCGUUUCAGGUGCCGCAGGGAAGCCGUGAAGCGAGCCACCUGGGAAGUACGGCCGCAAGGCUGAAACUUAAAGGAAUUGGCGGGGGAGCACUACAACGGGUGGAGCCUGCGGUUU